AGAGUUUGAUCAUGGCUCAGGACGAACGCUGGCGGCGUGCCUAAUACAUGCAAGUAGAACGCUGAAGAGAGGAGCUUGCUCUUCUUGGAUGAGUUGCGAACGGGUGAGUAACGCGUAGGUAACCUGCCUUGUAGCGGGGGAUAACUAUUGGAAACGAUAGCUAAUACCCCAUAACAAUGGAUGACACAUGUCAUUUAUUUGAAAGGGGCAAUUGUUCCACUACAAGAUGGACCUGCGAUGUAUUAGCUAGUAGGUGGGGUAAUGGCUCACCUAGGCGACGAUACAUAGCCGACCUGAGAGGGUGAUCGGCCACACUGGGACUGAGACACGGCCCAGACUCCUACGGGAGGCAGCAGUAGGGAAUCUUCGGCAAUGGGGGCAACCCUGACCGAGCAACGCCGCGUGAGUGAAGAAGGUUUUCGGAUCGUAAAGCUCUGUUGUAAGUCAAGAACGGGUGUGAGAGUGGAAAGUUCACACUGUGACGGUAGCUUACCAGAAAGGGACGGCUAACUACGUGCCAGCAGCCGCGGUAAUACGUAGGUCCCGAGCGUUGUCCGGAUUUAUUGGGCGUAAAGCGAGCGCAGGCGGUUUGAUAAGUCUGAAGUUAAAGGCUGUGGCUCAACCAUAGUUCGCUUUGGAAACUGUCAAACUUGAGUGCAGAAGGGGAGAGUGGAAUUCCAUGUGUAGCGGUGAAAUGCGUAGAUAUAUGGAGGAACACCGGUGGCGAAAGCGGCUCUCUGGUCUGUAACUGACGCUGAGGCUCGAAAGCGUGGGGAGCGAACAGGAUUAGAUACCCUGGUAGUCCACGCCGUAAACGAUGAGUGCUAGGUGUUGGAUCCUUUCCGGGAUUCAGUGCCGCAGCUAACGCAUUAAGCACUCCGCCUGGGGAGUACGACCGCAAGGUUGAAACUCAAAGGAAUUGACGGGGGCCCGCACAAGCGGUGGAGCAUGUGGUUUAAUUCGAAGCAACGCGAAGAACCUUACCAGGUCUUGACAUCCCGAUGCUAUUUCUAGAGAUAGAAAGUUACUUCGGUACAUCGGUGACAGGUGGUGCAUGGUUGUCGUCAGCUCGUGUCGUGAGAUGUUGGGUUAAGUCCCGCAACGAGCGCAACCCCUAUUGUUAGUUGCCAUCAUUCAGUUGGGCACUCUAGCGAGACUGCCGGUAAUAAACCGGAGGAAGGUGGGGAUGACGUCAAAUCAUCAUGCCCCUUAUGACCUGGGCUACACACGUGCUACAAUGGUUGGUACAACGAGUUGCGAGUCGGUGACGGCGAGCUAAUCUCUUAAAGCCAAUCUCAGUUCGGAUUGUAGGCAGCAACUCGCCUACAUGAAGUCGGAAUCGCUAGUAAUCGCGGAUCAGCACGCCGCGGUGAAUACGUUCCCGGGCCUUGUACACACCGCCCGUCACACCACGAGAGUUUGUAACACCCGAAGUCGGUGAGGUAACCUUUUGGAGCCAGCCGCCUAAGGUGGGACAGAUGAUUGGGGUGAAGUCGUAACAAGGUA
rnacentral:rRNA from 1 species